CCACCACACCACCUUUGUAAUCAAGUAUUACUUUCAUUGUAUUACUAUUUAUACAUAUGGUCAUGCAUAUAUUGUUUAAUUUGGUAGGGAUUUACAAUAUCUGAAUACAUCAUUGAUAAAUCUAAUAUUCACGGAUCCUGAUAUACCAAUUUGUUGAUUUUUUCAUAUUUAUAUUUCAUUGAUAUUUCCGGAUAUUUCACUAAUUUUUUGAUUAUUAAAUAAAUUAAUUUUAAUUAUUUUAUUUUUAUAUUUGAUUUAAUUUAUUAUAUAAAAACGUAAUUUUCUUAAGAGGUUUUUUUGUUUUAUAUAAUCUAUAUAUUUAUUAAAUAUAAAAAUAUGAAUAUUAAUUUUUUAUAUAUAUAUAUUUAUUUAUUUGAUAUAAUUUAUAAUGGAUCAUAAUUUUAAUAUUAAAUAUAUUUUAAAAUUAGACAUAUUAUCAUAAUAAUAUUUUUUAUUGAUAUAGAGGAUAUUAUUAUGAUAAAUUAUAUGUAUUCAUUUUUUUUUUUUAUCAAAAAUAACUUUUAAAUAUCUAUUUUUUACUUCUUAUAUAAUAUUUUAAAGUUUUUUUAAUUAAUUUUUAUAAUAUUUUAUGAAUACCAUAAUUACUGAUAUUUUUAUCAAUGAAAUCUUAACUAUUGAUUGCCCAUCAUUGCAAAGAUGUGACAAGAUCUAAAACAAAUGAUUUUUCAAAUUACCUGUAAAAAUAAACAAUCCAACAUUUUUAAGAAAGGCGUGAAUGCCUUUCUUUCUUAUACAAGGGAGAUGCAUUGAAACAUUCAAGGCUGAUGCACUAUUAAUUAUAUAGAAAUAUAUAGGUUAUAAGUCACUGUCAUACUUUCAUUAAUACGAAAAUCUCAAUUAUCAAACCUUGGAAAGUACCAUAAAAUCAGUUCGAUCCAUUGCCGUGAAGGAAGAAAGAGCGACCCAAUCCCAUGCAUGGACUAGAGUUGUACGCCACCACUCCACCUUUGUAAUUAAGUAUCAGUCUCAUUGUAUUACUAUUUAUGCAUAUAGCCCGUGUGUAUAAAUAGCCCAUGUUGGAGCUAGGUUUCUUUCCUCCUGGCUUCCAUUAUUCGUGCGCUAACCUACAAUGCAAGGUUCACCUUGACCUGGUAGUAUCCGGACAGACCCCUCCGAUUGUCAAGUCAUUUGGAGAUCUGGGGUGGUUACCUUCCGAUAUUGCCCUUCGUGUUUUCCCACGUUUCUUACUAGGUCAAACACUUUGAGCAGGCCUCCAGGUUAUGCCCAUAAUUUCAGGCCCCAUGGGGUGCCUACUGCCCAUGCAUGGGUUGUUUGGUAGGAAUGGAAGUGAUACUUCACUUGUACAUCCAUGGCGCGCACACACACUAGAAAAUAAAGAAGAUUUUGAAAUUUAAUCAUAUUUUUCAAACAUUAAGGGGAAAAGCUGAUCCACCAUAUUAUGUGAAACUAUAUACUAUGCAUUUAAAUUUAAUAAAAAAAUCAAAAUAUAUUCUUGAUAUUUUUAAUCAUUUAUUAUAAUAACCCAUAAAAAAAUAUUUGAAAACAUUUAAAAUCUAUUUUUAAAAAACAAUAUGAUUUUAUAAUAAAGUUUAGAAAAAAACCAUUGUAAACCCCCUUUCAGAAGACCAAAGACUAUUAGUUCUUUUAGGGCCAUCAUCACAUCUACGUUCGGCGUUCGGAGCCAUCGUUAUCACUUCUCAGUGUCGGUGUUAAGAGCCAUCCUCGUCGCAUUUUCAGUUUCGACGUUCCGAGCCAUCAUCUCAUCUUCGUUCGCGUCCAGAGCCAUCGUUAUCACUUCUCAGUAUCGGCAUUCAGAGCCAUUGCCUACCUUUGUUUCGGCGUUCAGAGUCAUGUUUCACUUCGUUUGGUGUUCGGAGCCAUAUUUUCGCUCGGCGUUCAGAUCCACUUCUUCAUUUGACGUUCAGAGCCACUACGUCACUCAUUUCGGCAUUUAGCGUCCUGUUUUGUUUCAUUUUGACAUUCAGAGCCAUUACUUAUCUUUAUUUUGACGUUCAGAGCCGUGUCUUGCUUCGUUUGGCAUACAGAGCUAUAUCUUCGUUUGACAUUCGAAUCCACUUCUUCAUUCGGUGUUCAGAGCCACUGCAUAUCGUUCGUUUCGACGUUCAGAGCCACGUCUUCAUCUGCGUUCAGGACCAUUAUCUGUUUAUUAUUAUUAUUAUUAUUAUUAUUUAGUGUUUCGAGUGGAGGGUUUAGUUCGACACUCAGAGUCCUCAUGUCUAUCUUUCGUUCGAUUCAUCACCAUUUUCCUCAUUUCUGGCGUUCAGAGCCAUUGGGCACACUCUUUCGGGCCUUUUGAGCCAUUUAUUUUCUUUAAUUUUAACGUUCAGAGCCACUGUUAUAUUUGACGUUUGCCGCCACUACCACAUUUUUUCUUUUAGUUUGGCUUUCAAAGCCGUUUUUCAUACCCAUUCGUGCAUUUUGAGUCAUCAUCUUUCUUAGUUUUGGCAUUCAGAACCAUUGUUCUGUUUGACGUUCAGUGCCACCGUCAUUCUCUAGUUUGGCGUUCAGAGCCAUUGUACACAUUCAUUCGAAGACCUUGAGUCAUCAUCUUUCCGUGUUUUGACGUUUAGAGUCAUUUCUCCUCGACUGUAUCAUUCAGGGUCACAGCCCCUGGCAUUCGUAUUCGCUGACAUUAUACGUCUUGACUCCAUGGCUUUGCAUAUAUCCUUGUUUUCCUCACCGCGUUACCCUGUGCUUAUCGCUUAUUAGUCAUUGCUCUUCCAGAAUUCUCUUUUCAUUGCCCCUGACACGGUCCUUUGAGUUUAUGACACAUAUUUCGGUCAUGUUGUUGGGCACCCUAUGCUUGGCACUUUCAUGUAGUUUUCUUCGGGCAGUCUUCUUGGGACACUUUCUUUAUAGUACUCCAGAGUGGUUCGACAGUUACUCAUCUUUGAUAUGGUUUUUCGAGUCACUUAUGGAGACGUCUUAAAAAAAGUCUGGAUCCUUUAGUGUGGCUUCAAAGUCAUUUUGAGACAUCGUUUUCUUUUAGGAUUAAAGCCUUUAUGUUCGUCUAUUGACCUGAGUAAGUCCGUGUUUCACUGGUGUCCCUAUGGGGGUCUCUUUGUUUCUUCGGUAGAGUUCACUUCAUUCCACUCAUUAUUCACACUUUCUUUUUACUCUAGUAUUCAUAUUCCUUACAUUUGUAAAUUCUACCGAAGAUGGGCAUAUUUGUAGACCCCCUUUCAGAAGACCAAAGACUAUUAAUUCUUUUAGGGAUUUUUUUUUAGCAUGGAGGGAAUGCUAUUUCACCACUUGGUAUACCUGGUAGCACCCGAGAAGUGUGGGGGGACCCCUCUCCAUGCAUGGAUCCCAACUGCAUGCAGACGGUAGGGGACAUGAUGGUCGGAUGAAGGUGGUUGAGGAGCCCAUACCUGCUGAGGGGAUGAACAGAGAAGUAGGUAAUGGCUUGCCCAAGAAGAUAGAGAGAAGGGGGGGGGGGGGGGCAGAAGAAUUUUUUGGAAAAAAAAAAAAAACCGGAAAAAGAACUGAAGGCAAGGAGGGAGCCAGAUGUCUGAAAAAGGGGGAGGGGAAUCCCAAAAGAAAGGAGAAACCUGGAGGGGGAGAAGGGGGAGAGGGAUGAUAUUUUCCCUGGGUCUUGGGCUCCCUUGGAGUAUAUGAACUCCCUAUUUUUCUCUUAAUAGUUUUGAGUAAAUAUCAUCCGGGUAUAUGUUUCGUUUCCUGGGUCAUAAUUAUGGGUUGGGAGCUGCCAUCUCUUUCCUAUUUUUGGGUUGGUUGGGNNNNNNNNNNNNNNNNNNNNNNNNNNNNNNNNNNNNNNNNNNNNNNNNNNNNNNNNNNNNNNNNNNNNNNNNNAGAGAGGUAUGAUAUUUACCAUGGCUCGAGCUGAGGGCAAGGAGGGAGCGAGAUGUCUGAGAGAGGUGGAGGGGAAUCCAGAGAGAAAGGAGAAGCCUGAAGGAGGAGAAGGGAGAGAGGUAUGAUAUUUACCAUGGCUCUUGGACUCACUUGAUGUAUAUGAUCUCCUUAUUUUUCUCUUAAUAGUUUUGAGUAAAUAUCAUCUGAGUAUAUGUUUCGUUUCAUGGUUCAUAGUUAUGGUUUGGAUGCUGCUAUCUCUUUCAUAUUUUUGGUUUGUUUGGAGAGCAAUGAAGCUAUGUUUUAACCUCCUCUUCAUGGCCAUUACCAUGCUCAUCAUCCACCCCCCAAUACCCACACUGUCACGCACUAAUAUACCAACUCCAUUUCAUCACCAUCCGACAUUCCAUGCAUGGCCGUCACCCUUACCCAUCUUCCCCAUCAUCUUUUCUCUCUCUAGCCGACAUACUCAUCCCUCACCCACGUGCGCGGAACCUGGUAUACCUGGCUGCCCACCAUGCCCGUGUUCAGCUCGUCUCCACAAGAACCCCCAAAGCCGCCCGUCUACACGCGUGUGUCCCAUGCACGCAAGCCGCCCUGUCCCUCUUUUUUUUUUUUGCUGCAUGCACCGCGUCGACAAGGCCCCUGCUCCUUACCAGCCACCAUCACCCGCUCUAGUCAUGCGGGCAUUCGCACCAGCCGCCAUGGCGGCAACAUCUCUUGGAUGCCACGGGACUGCCGCCACUGCUCCUCUCUCCAUGGUGCCGCUGGCGGUGGGAGCUUCCUCUGAGGAUGAUAUCCAGGCGGAGGGGCAAGCUAUGAAGGAGAUGAAGUCUUGGGCUUGAGAAGAAGCCCAACCCAAUCAUGUUGAUGGAACCAUGUCAUCUCAAAUAAGUGGGCUGUGAGAGGAAAUGAUGCCUUGGGCUUGCCCAUGAUGAGAAUUGAUUUGGGCUUUAGUGGGCUGGACCCAGAUGAAAGGUCCAAGCUUGUCAUGAAGGUAAUGGGUGCCUUGGGCUUGCCCAUGGCAAGGACUUUGGGCUUAAGUUGGAGCCCAGGCCCAAAAGUUGCUGAUGAAAGGCCCCAUUGCUCCUUAAGCCAAUCACCCUCAUGGCCCGAGUCCAUGUUGAGUUAGCCCAUUUGGUUGCCUUAAUUCCAAAAAAAUCUCUAUACCUCUAAUCCUUCAAAAAUCUCAUGGCUUAAUUUAAUUUUCCAAUAGAUUCGUUUAAAUCUCAUUUUCAUCAAUUAGGACUAUUAUCAUAUACUUAUCUAACUAUUUAAAGCCUAAAUCUUUCAAGGAAAUCAUAUGCCUUAAUUUAAUUUUCAAUAAUUAGUUCAAAUCUCAUUUUCAUCCGUUAAAAUUAUUUAUCCCAUAUUUAUCUAGCUAUUUAAAGUCUAAAUCUUUCAAGGAAAUCAUAUGCCCUAAUUUAAUUCUUCAAUAAUUAGUUCAAAUCUCAUUUUCAUCCGUUAGGAUUAUUUAUCUCAUAUUAUCUAGCUAUUUAAAGUCUAAAUCUUUCAAAGAAAUCACACAUCUUAAUUUAAUUUCUCAAUAAUUAGUUCAAAUUUUAUUUUCAUCCAUUAGAAUUAUUUAUCCCGUAUUAUCUAGCUAUUUAAAGUCUAAAUCUUUCAAAGAAAUCACAUAUCUUAAUUUAAUUUUUCAAUAAUUAGUUCAAAUAUCAUUUUCAUCCAUUAGAAUUAUUUAUCUCAUAUUUAUCUAGCUAAUUAAAGUCUAAAUCUUUCAAAGAAAUCACAUAUCUUAAUUUAAUUUUUCAAUAAUUAGUUCAAAUCUCAUAUUCAUUAGAAUUAUUUAUCAUAUACUUAUCUAGCUAUUUAAAGUCUAAAUCUUUCAAAGAAAUCACAUAUCUUAAUUUAAUUUUUCAAUAAUUAGUUCAAAUCUCAUUUUCAUCCCUUAGAAUUAUUUGUCACAUAUUUAUCUAGCUAUUUAAAGUCUAAAUCUUUCAAGGAAAUCACACAUCUUAAUUUAAUUUUUCAAUAAUUAGUUCAAAUCUCAUUUUCAUCCAUUAAAAUUAUUUAUCCCGUAUUAUCUAGCUAUUUAAAGUCUAAAUCUUUCAAAGAAAUCACAUAUCUUAAUUUAAUUUUUCAAUAAUUAGUUCAAAUCUCAUUUUCAUCCAUUAGAAUUAUUUAUCCCAUAUUUAUCUAGCUAAUUAAAGUCUAAAUCUUUCAAAGAAAUCAUAUAUCUUAAUUUAAUUUUUCAAUAAUUAGUUCAAAUCUUAUUUUCAUCCAUUAGAAUUAUUUAUCAUAUGCUUAUCUAGCUAUUUAAAAUCUAAAUCUUUCAAAGAAAUCACAUAUCUUAAUUUAAUUUUUCAAUAAUUAGUUUAAAUCUCAUUUUCAUCCAUUAGAAUUAUUUAUCUCAUAUUAUCUAGCUAUUUAAAGUCUAAAUCUUUCAAAGAAAUCAUACGUUUUAAUUUAAUUCUUUAAUAAUUAGUUCAAAUCUCAUUUUCAUCCCUUAGAAUUAUUUAUCCCGUAUUAUCUGGCUAUUUAAAGUCUAAAUCUUUCAAGAAAAUCAUACGUCUUAAUUUAAUUCUUCAAUAAUUAGUUCAAAUCUCAUUUUCAUCCAUUAGAAUUAUUUAUCCCAUAUUUAUCUAGUUAUUUAAAAUCUAAAUCUUUCAGGGAAAUCCUAUGUCUUAAUUUAAUUCUUCAAUAAUUAGUUUAAAUCUCAUUUUCAUCCAUUAGAGUUAUUAUCCCAUAUUCAUCUAAUUAUUUAAAGUCUAACCCUUCAAAAAUCUCAUGUCUUAAUUCAAUUUUUCAAUAGUCCGUUCAAACCUUAUUCGUCUAAAUGUUAUUUUCCUUAAGUAAAAUUAUUAUAGUAUAUUUAUUUAUUUAUUUAUUUAUUUAAAGUCCAAUUCUUCAAAAAUCCAACGUCCUAAUUUAAUUUUCGAUCUCAAAAAUCCCACUACUCAUUUUUCAUUCAUUUAAAUAUUAUUUUCAUUAAAUUAGCAUUAUUAUCCCAUACUUAUUUAUUUAUUCCAACCAUUAAAGUUUAAUUCAUCAUAACCCGACUUCCAAAUCUAAUUUUCAAUCUCAAAAGCUCCACCGUCCCUAUAUUGUCGUUUAACGAUUAUUCUCGUUAUUAAUGUUAUCUCAUCCACUUAUUCAGUUAUUCAUAUACCAAAGAUCUCGUCCCUAAAUAUUUUCUUAAAUUUUCAAUCUAUGAGUUUAAUCUCCAAUCUCUAAAAAUUCCAUCUCUCGUAAUUAUUUACCUGAUCUUUAUUAUUUCACCAUCCCAUUCAUUUACUUACUCACUCAUUCGCUUAUCCACUCGUUUAAAAUCCCGAACUCUCAAAUCAUUUUUCAAAUUUCCAACCUCGUUCAAAUUCAAUUUCUAAUAUUCUCGUUCUCACAUUUAGUUUCUAAAAGUAUGAUCUUCAAAUAAACUUUAAAAUUCCAAUUUUUAAAUAACCAUCGGGACUCCAAUUUUUCAAAUGAAUUUCAAAUAUCCGAUUUUCUCUCAAAUAGUUUUAAUUUCAUUCUGGUCUUCAAACAAUCUUCUGCUCCUCUUGAUUUUAAUAAGCAUGAACGAAUUUUUCAUAAUUCCAAAAUAAUGGAGUCUGUGACGUUAAGUCAUGCAAAUAUAAACGGGUUUUAGUGGGAGCCCAACAUGGGUGACUUUAUGAUUGAUUGAUUGAUUGUUUGAUUUAAUUAUCAUACACGAUUGGUUUAUCCUACUCUCUAACAUGCAUGCGAUUAUUCCUAAAUUGUGCACUAACCCUCUCUAUUGAUAGCGCAUGGUGGCUCGUUGCCCAGGUAUGUACCCAUUUUCCCUCUAAUCGUUGUCUAUGCAUGUCUCGAUUCUUAUAUGUGCAUGAUCAUUCAGGAUAUUCAUUGAUUUACUCAUCAAUUGUCACGUCAGCUUCAUUUUAUUAGUAGAGACCCAACUUUAGGGACUUACAAGGGUGCUACGGCCUUUACCGUACCUUCCCGAUAAGUAACCUGACCCCCAAACCGGAUCCGGUUUUUCGUAAAUCACCUUUUCCAAAAUAAGGAGUCGUACUUAGGGUUUUCUUUCUUAUUUUGUUUACUCUUUUAAAAAUAAAAUAAAAAUAAGUGAUGACUCUCAGUCAUUUUCUUAAUCAAUAAAAAUUGUUUUUCAAAUAAAAAUCGAGCUCACCAUCCAGUGGGAAACGUAUGAGCCGAAAUGCGGGGCCACAACCAUUAUCAAUCAUAUUUUUUAAAAAAAAAACUAUUUACUUAAUUACUUUAUUCACCACCAAAGAUUUUCCUCGUCUCUUGGCAUAUAAGCUCAUGGGUCGAAGUUCCACGAAACUCCAGGGUACAACAAGGGGUAAAAAGGUCACAUAUCACAGUCACUUCCCAAAUACGUAUGAAUUGAUUUCGUGCAAUCCAUCAUCUUCAAGAAACAAGAGGCGAGAGAGCCGUUUCACGUACUGAAUUUGGGUGUUGUGGUGAGUCUCAUGGACAACUGGACUCGAAAAUGAUCCGACUCUUUUAUGUCGUCUCGGCAUUAUUAAUUUCCGCAAAUCCAUCACAUUGCGCCCCGUACGUUUCUGUUAGGAUUCUUUCAAAUAAUUUUUCACGUAUCCGAUUACUAGUCUAUCUGAAAAAGCAGAUAUUUCAAAUUGUUGGCCCCGCUUUCAUCUAUAAUUAGCCUUAUUAGUCAAAUAAUUCACACUACUCAUUGUUCAUGCUCACAGAAGCACUUAUCUCACUAUUCAAGUGGAAUGGUUGGGCAACUUCACCACUACUCUAUGAAUAUAUUUUAUAUGUUUUGAGCACUUCUGGCUUUGAAUAAAGCAUUUUUUAUAGUCAUAUUUGUACACCUAAUUUUCAUAUGAAGUCAUAUUUGUACAGCUAAUUUUCAUAUGAAGUCAUAUUUGUACAGUUAGUUUCCAUAUGAAUCGAGAGGAGGAAAAGAGAAAAAUGUGAAAUGGCCAACCUUUUCCAUACGUGAAAUAUUGGUAGUCCAAUGCAGGCUCCUUUUUUUUGAAUGGAAAAUAACUAUAUUCAAAAGGAUGAAUUCUCCGGAAUGGGUGAAUUUCAGGAUUGGGCCUUAAGUGCUUUAGCAAAUGUCAAGUAAGCGUACGUGAAGAUAUAAACAGCGAGUCAGGAUCCUUUUUUUACACAGCCUCCUCCCAUUCGCCUUUAGCCACUUACGCGUGAAUUCCGCGCUUAGAACAAUUUUAACAUCUCAUGCAAUGCUGGUCCACCAAAGAAUCCAAUCAAAAUGCUAUAAUUCAAUUCAUUACCACGGAAUCUCAAACCUGUUGAUUCUUCUCAUAUCAAAAAGCAACUCAAUUAUGGACAACUUUUCUUCUUUUUCUCCAUCAAAUACUCAUGGUGGUAGAUGCCUCCUUUCUUUAUCUCCCUAUAUAUAUUUAUUUAUAUAUCUUUCCCACAGACAAAACCACUUCCAAAGCUCUCUUAACCAGCCAUGGGUUCCAACCACAAGAGUCUCCAGGCAAUAUUGGGCGCACCAGGAGUGAGGGGUAAGAGGGUAACGGCUCUAUCAAAAGAUGGAUUAACUGAUUUUGUGCUUUCCAUGAUCUCCAAGAAACAAGAGCUCAAAGAGCCAUUUUAUGUGCUUGAUUUGGGUGUGGUGGUGAGUCUCAUGGAGAAGUGGUCUCGGGCUCUGCCUCUGGUUCGACCCUUUUAUGCUGUCAAGUGCAACCCGGACCCCACAUUUCUUGCUGCACUAGCGGCUCUCGGCUCAAGCUUUGACUGUGCUAGCCGCACGGAGAUUGAGACCGUUUUGGGUCUUGGAGUUUCUUCGGAUCGGAUUAUUUUUGCAAACCCAUGUAAAGCCGAGUCUCAUAUCAAGUACGCCGCAAGCGUAGGCGUUAACUUGACAACUUUUGAUUCAAGGGAUGAAAUCGAGAAAAUUCGAAAAUAUCACCCGAAAUGUGCCUUAUUGAUCCGGGUGAAACCUCCGGAGCACGGUGUCCAUUAGAGUCCAAGUACGGUGCACUCCCUGAGGAGGUGACGCCGCUCCUCCAGGCUGCACAAGACGCUCGGCUCACUGUCUCCGGCGUGUCUUUCCAUAUUGGUAGCGGCGCCACCCUUGCGCAGGCCUACCGGGGGGCGAUAGCUGAAGCGAGGGCGGUGUUUGAUACAGCCUCGCGGCUCGGCUUGCCUCGAAUGCAUGUGCUCAAUAUCGGUGGCGGCUUUACAUCUGGGCCGCACUUCGAUGACGCCACUUCUGCUAUCAAAUCGUCUCUCCAAGCCUACUUCCCUAACGAACAUGGGUUAACCAUCAUAGGCGAGCCAGGCAGGUACUUCGCCGAAUCGGCUUUCACUCUAGUCACCAAUAUUAUUGGGAAGCGUGUGAGGUCGGAGCUGAGGGAGUACUGGAUCAACGACGCAUUUACGGCUCUCUGAACUGUAUACUAAACGACCAUGCAACUGUGACCGCGAAGCCUCUCGCUUGCACUUCCAAUAGCGUGAACCCCACGUGCCGUCGAGUUAGGACUUACUCCUCUACAGUGUUUGGACCCACGUGCGACGCACUUGAUACAGUUUUGACCGGUCACCAGUUGCCAGAACUGCAGGUCAAUGAUUGGCUGAUGUUUCCUAGAAUGGGAGCUUAUACCGCUGCUGCCGGGUCCAACUUCAAUGGGUUUAACAUGUCCGCGGUUACGACCCACCUAGUCUACUCGAAUCCAACCUGAGACGUGGUGCUUUUUGGAUGGUUGUUGACAAUCUUUUCCUUCUUGUCCCUUAUGGAGAAAUUUACGUAAGAAAAUCGAUUGUGUCUUUGCUUUGGAGUUUGGAAUAUUAAUAAUAAACAUGGAUUGUUGUAAUGGUGUGCUUUAUAAUUUAAUUAAACUAUUUUCCUUAUCCAUUUCUAGAAAACAGAAAUCAUAUAAUUUCUUUUCUUACUGGAUUGUACAUGUAAAAAGUUCAAUUCUUCUCAAAAAGUCAAAAUCACCAUGGUUAUCUUAAAAAAAUAAAAAUAAAAAACAAAAAUUGACAUGUGGUAACCACCCAUGUCAUAUAAUUUCUCUUUAUUUAUUUAUUAUGUUUGUCAAUUUUUUUUAAGCUUGACAUAUGUCCCAAAUUAUUUUUAUUUUUAUUUUCUCUUUCUUUAUUUUAGUUUUUUUAGUUUUUUUUUUUAUAUGUUAGUUACAUUUUUUUUAUGAAUUUUUUAAUUCUUUUUUUUCAUUCUUUCAUCUUUUUAUUUUAAUUAUUUAUGAACCCUUGAAAUAUAAAAUAAUAUAUAAUAUAUAAUAUAUAAUAUAUAAUAUAUAAUAUAUAAUAUAUAAUAUAUAAUAUAUAAUAUAUAAUAUAUAAUAAAUAAUUAAUGAAAAAUUUUAAUAUAAUUUUUAUUUUUUAUUCAUAUAAAAUAAAAAUAAAAAAUAAAAAAUAUUUUUUCAUGCACAAUUUGUAUUUAAUAAUUUAUAUUAAUUUUUUCUUAGUUUUAUUAAAAAAUAAUUUUUUUUUGCAUAGUGAAAAUUGUGCAACACAACUCUUAGAAAAAAAAGGAUAUCACUCUUUUAUAAAAAAAAAUAACAUUAAUUAGUAUAGCUCUUAGAAAAUAAGGUAUUACUCUUUUAUGAAAACCGUAACAAAUUGUUAAAGGUAUACUUAACACACUUGAGUAUUAUUAUUAUUUUAUAUAAAAAACAAAAGUAAUAUCCUUUUUUUCCAAUGGUUGUGUCUAUUUGUGCACAAUUUGAGUGUGCAAAAAUUUUAAUUUUUAAUAAUUUUUUAAAAAAUAAUAUAAAUGAUUAGAUACAAUUUUUUAACAAAAAAUUAAAAUUUUUAAUAAAAAAAUGUUAGAACCACAACCAAGUUUUUAUCCUCUUUAAUUAAAAAUAUUAAAUAUUUUAAUUAAGAAAAAAGUUAAAACCACAAUCAAAUUAAAUUCAUAAGCAAAAAGUUAAAACCAUAAUCAUCAAUUUUGAUUUUAUUAUGAAAAAUUGAAAAUUUUAAAAAAUAAAAAUAUUAAAAUAAUAUGACAAUGUAAUAAGAUUUAUAAAAUAAAUAAAUAUUUUUUAGUAGCAAUCUAAAAAUCUUAUAUUAUAAAUCUCUAAAUUUGUUCAUUGUGUAUUUAUUUUUAUAUUAAAUUUGUUUUCAUUAGUUAUUAAUUAUUUAUUUUUAUUUUAUAUUUAAAAUGUUCUUAAAUAAUUGAAAUCAAUGCAUAUGAAGUGAUGAAAUUGUGAAAAAAAAAUUAAAAUUUUAAAAUUUUGAUAAAGCCAACACAUUAAAAAAAGCAAAAAAGGUAUUUUUAACUUUUGAAAAUAGUUUUUGAAUUUUUAUAAAACAAAAGUCUAUUUGAAAACUUAAAAUAUUUUUAACACAUUUUUAAUAUUUUUAAAUAUGUUUGAAAAAUAAAUUUUAUAUCUGGUGUUUUAUUUUUUUAUUUAUUUUUUUUUAUCAUUUUACAUGUUUUUGUAUGAUUAUUUUGUUAAAAUAACUCUUAAAAAAUAAGUAAAAAUAAAAAAAAAAAUAUUUUACUUUUUAUUCUUAAUAAAAAAUCAUUUUUAAUUGUUAAUUUUUUUUUUUUUAUCUUUUAAAUAAUAAAAAACUAUUCUAAAAAAUAAUUUUCAUGAAUCCUAUUGAGAUGCUCUUACUUAAGCAACUAUCUCUAACAAAUUAUUUGGUCCUAUUUGUUAUUAAUGGGAUCAAGAAUACUUUCAAUAAGAAAUAUAUUGAAGAGUUGGUGCAGGGUAAUAAUGGGAUCAGAGUUUAUGAAAAGUCUGAUCUAAAAUUCCUAAAAAAAAAUUAGCCUUUUAUUAUUAAAUCAACAAUGAUCCGGUAAAAGGGGAUUUAAGCUAGGUUCAAUAGAAAAUAAGACAAUUAUGUUUUGGACCUACUUGAGUAAAAAAAUUAAGCUUUGGUCUGUAUAAGUUCACCAUUUAAGUUCAAGAUCUAGAAGAAGUGUGAAAAUUGAUAGGAAGGAUAUGAAUUUUUUAUCUUUCAAAAAAUGAUAUUUAUUGACUAUGAAAAAAGGAAAGUAGAAAAGCAUUAAUUUAAAUUUUAUUUAUUUUGUAAACCUCAAUAAAAUUUAAUUUAAUUUAGUGAUUUGGAAAAAAAUAUACCAUUUUCCAAAAACAUAAAAAUAAAAAUAAAUUAUUAUUAUUAUUAUUAUUUAAAAAUCAAACAUCUUAGAAAAUAUCUAUCUUUAAAAUUGUGUAUAUAAAAAAUAACUAAAAAUAUGUCAAAAUUAUUUUUUUUAAAUGAUGUAUUUUUAGAAUAUAUUUAAAAAAAAUUAGUUUUCUAAAAAUAAUGAAUUUUCAAAAUAAUUAUUAAAUAAAUAAAUAAAAAAGUUUAUCAAAUAUUAUGAUAGAAAAUACUCAAAAUAGUUUUGAAAUGCAUAUUGGUUUCUUCAUAUUUUAUAUUAUUUUUAUCAAUUAUAUAAUUUUUAUGUGUCAAAUCUUAAGUUUUUGGCUAAUUGGGUCAAAAGCACAAUUAUGCCGGGGGGAAAUAUGGAUGGAAAAGUUGUUGGUUAGGAACUUAGGACACAGAUUAUAAACUUUUUGUACGUGGUAUGCCUACCUUUUUUGAAAUAUUUCCAAUCGCUUUUAUAGACAAGACGAAUUGUUGGAAGUAUAGCAUCGAACAAGUAGACGUAGCUGUUGACUUGUAUGGCGAAACAAUGUUCUAUCAAAUCGGUCAAACUCUCCCAUUUCUGGCCGCUUCUCCAGUUCUCCUUCGUGAUUGAUAACGAGGUGAGGCCCACAUCCCAACAUAUCAUAUCUUACAUGGGCUGAUGAUUUUCCUACGUGGCCAUCAAACAAAUAAAGAAAAAUGGAAAGGGAGAAUCACGGCCACAUAAAAAUAAAAUAAAAUUUAAAUGUUAGAUUUUUAACUUUGGAAACAAAACACGUACAUUUUGGAAAAAUUUCCAAAAACUAGUCUCUCUACCCAUCACUCCUACCCCCCAUCACCUACUUAUUUUUAUUCUCUCUACCCAUCUCUCCUACUCCCAUCACCUACCUAUUUUUAUUUUUAUUUUUGACACGUCAGAGAGCAUCAUGAUUAUCUUAAAAAAAAAAAACACCUUUGAAAUGUGGCAACCAACCACUGGCACAUGAUUUAUUUAUUUUUUCAAUUUACUAGCUUCAUGAAAUUUUUUUAAUUUCAAUUUUUUUCACCACUUCAUAUUAAUUGAUUUUUAUUAUUUUAUUGAUAUUUUAAACAUAAAAUAAUAAUUUAUGAUAAAUAAUUAAUGAAAAUAAAUUGAAUAUUAAAAUAAAUACAUAACUAAUAAAUGUAGAGGUUUAGGAUAUAAGAUCUUUUAUAUUAUGUUAAAAAAAUAUUUAUUUAUUUUAUAAAUCUUAUUAUAUUGUGAUCUUAUUUUAUUAUUUGUAUUUUUAAAAAUUUUAAAAAUUUCAUGUGACAAUCAAAAUUAAUGAUCACGACUUUACCUUUUUGAUCAUGGUUCUAAAUUUUUGAUUGAUUAAAAUAUUUAAUUGUUUAUUGGUUAAAAUAUUUAAUUGUUUAUUUAUAUGAAAUAAAAAUAUAUUUUUCAUAACAAAUUGUAUUUAAUAAUUUAUAUUAAUUUUUUAAAAUUUUAUUAAAACUUUAAUUUUUUACUUACCAAGUACUGAAACCAAUUUAGAGUGUUUAGGAAGGUGUUAAUUUUUUUUUUGUGUACUUCAAAGAUGUGUAAUUUUAGUAUGCAAAAAUAUUAAAGAUACUUGAAAGAUGUAUAAAUUUAACAUGGAAAAUUUUUAAAUCUGUUAUAAAAUAUAUAGUUUAUUUUAUAUUUUAUAUAAAUAAAAAAUUAAAUAUCUUUACCAAGAAAAAAGUUAAAAUCAUAAUAAAAAGGCUAGAACUAUGAUUAUUGAUUUUGAUCUUCACAUGAACAUAUAAAAAUUUCAAAAAAUAUAUACAAUAAAAUAAUAUGGCAACAAUAUUUUUAUUUAAUUUAAAUAUGAUAAGAUUUAUAAAAAUAAAUAAAUAUUUUAUUAUUUUUAUUUAAUAUUGAUAUAUAAAAUCUUAUAUCGUAUACUUCUAAAUUUGUUCAUGUAUUUAUUUUUUUAUUAAAUUUAUUUUCAUUAAUGAUUUAAUAUAUAUAUAUAUAUAUAUAUAUAUAUAUAUAUAUAUAUAUAUAUAUAUAUUAUUAUUUUAUGAUUAAAGUGUUUAUAAAUAAUUUAAAAAUAAAUAUGAAAAACAUAUUUUAUUUUUAUUUGAUAUAAAUAAAAAUUACAAAUUUUAACAAUGCAAAAUAUUAGAACUAAAGCUAAGUUUUUAUCUUUUAUAAUUAAAAAUAUUAACAUUUUAACUAAAAUAAAAGAAGUUAAAAACACAGUUAAUUAAGAUCAUAAACAAAAAAACUAAAAUUAUGAUUAUUAACUUUAAAUUUUAUAUGAAAAUUUAAAAAUUUUAAAAAUAUAAAUAAUUAAUAAUAUGACAAUGUAACAUUAUUUAUAAAAUAAAUAAAUAUUUUAUUUAAUAGGAACAUAGAAAAUCUCAUGUUAUAAACCUUUAUUUUUUUAUUUUUAUAUUAAAUUUGUUCUCCUAUUUUCUUAUUAGGCUUUCACCUUAUAAAUUAGUUGUGUACACAUUAUUUUUUUUAAAGAAAAUAUAAGAAAAAAAUUAUAAUUAUUGUUUUUAUUAUAGAAAAUAAAAAAAUCAAAUUUAACCAAAUUUAACUAAGAUUCUUGCAAUUUUUUUUGUAAAUUAUUUUAAUUUUGUAUAUGAAAAAUAAAAAAAUAAGUUAAAUAAAUUAAAAAUAACAUAUGAAAUAAUUCAAUGGUUUUAAUCUAUCUUUUGUAUUAUUUUUCGUCUUCUACUUUUUUUUUUCCCCUUCACAUUUUUUGAAACUUAAACAUGAUAAAAAAAAAAAAAAUAGUUUUAGUUUGAGAUUAGAUUAGCUAAAUUCAAAAUUUAAAUUGAUUUUUUUUAAUAGGAAUUUAAUUAUGGCAUAACCAAAAGGAAAAUGUGAUCGUAUCUGGAAUUAAAGAUCAAAAUUGUUAUUUAAUAACAGGUAAACGAUUAAAAAAUUAUCUAAAAACAUCUGAUUGACGCAAUCAACCACGUGGCGACAAAAGAGUUUAGGUGAACAUGCGGCUCUCACGCAAUAUAAUCUUGGCCCGCUUGUGUUUUAGACGCGGGCCGGACUGGCCCAUUUUCAGCCCAUAAUAUUUGGGAUAAGUAGAAUAAAAUCCAAAAAUCAAAGGGAAAACAGCCAGAACCCCAGGUGAGCAAAGACCAGCUAUUCCGUCUAUUUUUUUGUGUCAUCACGCCAUGGAAGCUCUGAGUUCCUCUGCAACAAUCAUAGCUGCUUCAUCGUCAUCUCCAUCGAUUUUCUCCCCAAGGAAAAGAGACUCACCAAGAUUCCUUCGAGUCAACGUUUCUCCAAAAGGUAAGAUCUCACCACAGCAUCUGCCAUCAUUUCUGAUUUCUUUCGUUUUCUUUUCUCUUUUUGUGAAAUUAACAAUAGAAUAUGGUUUUGAAUCAGAUAACGGGAACGAUUCCGAUGUCCGAUCCGAAUCGGAUGAGUCAAGCUUGGUUCCCAUCCUGACGAAUCGUACUCUCUCGAAGGUGAGUUCCUGUUAACGAAAUCCUGUUCAAUUUUUAUUUUUAUAGUAAUUUAGGGUUUAUUUUUUAGGCUUAUUUUUUUUGGAAAUUUUCUUAGGAUGCGGCGAUGGGGUUGGUUCUGAGUGCGGCGUCGGUGAGAGGUUGGACGACGGACUCUGGUAUGGAAGGUCCUUCGGUUCCGGCGGCGGCGGAGGCCCGAUCCAGUACGGAGAGGAUCUCAACCUUCCCGUGGUCCCUCUUUACCAAAUCGCCACGUCGAAGGAUGCGCGUUGCCUUCACUUGCAAUGUUUGCGGUCAGCGGACCACUCGUGCCAUCAAUCCUCAUGCUUACACCGAUGGAACCGUUUUCGUCCAGGUAAUUUUUUCUCCCUGUCCUCUGUUUGGUUGAUGGGAAAAGAUAAUAGAAAAAUAAAAUAAAAUCAAUAUCUUGUUUUAUGUUAUUUGUUUCCAAAUAAUGAAAACAACUUGCCUGAAUAAAGCAUUAUGUAAGGCUCAAUUGAAAGAGGUUUCUGUUUUCUCAGCUGCAAUUAUAGUUUCUUAUUGUGAAUGGCGUGUCCGUGAUUUGCAGUGCUGUGGAUGCAAUGUGUUUCAUAAACUGGUGGACAAUCUGAAUCUUUUUCAUGAGAUGAAGUGCUACGUGAACCCGAGCUUCAAUUACAGUGAUCCAAGAGGGGAUGUGGGCUUCAAGUAUCUUGAUAUGGAUGAUGAUAAUAACAAUGACGUCUUUCCUAUCUUUUGAGGUGAAAGAAUUGCUUAUAUACUUGUACAUUUCCUAUAUCAUACUUAGAAACUGAUUUUAAUUGCAUCUGUAAAUAUAUUGUCACUAUUGGUUUACAUGGGGUGUUCAAUUAAUAAUUCAGAGUUGGAUCCUUUUUAGAUGAUUUGGGUCACCAGGUUCAUUACUUAAUACUUGGUUUAUAUCUGUUUAUAUUGGAAAUAAUGUAAGAACUUUGUCCAGCAUCCAGGUCCCUCCUAAUUUGAUGCACUCCUAUUUGUUGUGCUUUAGUUCUCAUCAUUUACAGAAAGAUCUUGAGGGGUAAGCUAUAUGGAUUAGGAAUUUAACUUUAGGUCAUGGCUAUAUGCAUUGGAGUUUUUAAUCAUUGUCUUUCUUGAAGAUAUAGAAACUAUGUGGAUUCUACUUUUGAAGCUCCUAAAGUUGCAGUUUCUAAUUCUGUGUUGCAGUUGUAGUGGGUUUUUUUCUUUUGUUAGAAAGUUGGUAUUAUUGGUACCCAAUAAACUAUAUAUUAGAUUUAGUUUCAUAGUUGGAAGUGAAAAUGAAAUUUAGAUGGAAAGAUUGAUGACCUGUUAUUGAAUAGUCUAAAGGGAACAAACCAUCUUGUAUAACAACACUUCAUUGGCUGUGCAAGAAGAACCUGUAUUAUGCUUGAUGAAAAUGUAGGGAUAAUGGAAGAGAUGAAACAUGGAAAUUGAGUAAGAUAUAAGGUAAAAAGAAGCGAGAUUGAAUUUAGGGCCUAUAAUGCUCUUUAUCAUGAGAUCUUCAGUAGUUAGAUUCAAGGACCAGUUUCUGUGUGGUUUUGUUCCUUCCAGGCAGUAGUUCAGUUCAUUCAACUUGCUGAAUCAGAAAAUAGGAUAUGUUAUUAAGUAUGAUCAAAACUGAAUGUUCAUGAAUACUUAUUUCUCCAGACAUUCAGCUUAAUCUCUGAAAUGAUUUUAGAAAAUAGUAGCUUAACCAUGAGCAUGGUAUUAUUGAGUUGAAAUAUGCAACAUAUAGCUUAGAAACCUAUUGUUAAGUGUGGCUGUUGGGGAUGUCAUUUAUGUUUGAAUGGUUAAGUUUUCUAUCUUUCUUGAGAUCCUUGACCUCAGAGGUGUAACAUUUAGUGUCCAAUAGUGCAAAAUUAGAGUUUUCUCUUUUACCAAGAGAAAAGAAAAAAAAAAAAAAAAAAAAAAAAAAGAGCAAAAAGGACAAUAAAAAAUCCAAACAGUGUUGGCUUGUCCAAAAAAUGUAUUUGUGUACCUUGCAAAGAAGUCUAAAAUAGGUGCCAUCUCUAGAAUGGGGUUAAUAAAUUUUUAACAUGUACUCACUUGUUAUACUUUCCAUAAUUUUGGGUUGUUUAUCUUGAUUUGCAGGAAAAUACUAAGAUCUAAGGUAAGGUAGGUGCUAAAUAUUUUAUUAAAGCUAAAACUUGUAGUGAUUAUUUAAGCUGACAUUUCAGUACUAAAUGUGUGUUGGAUAAACAUGAAGAUAUCACAUAAGUGGUACAUGGAUUGCCUGUUUAACACAGAUAUACAUAGACAAUUAACUGAGCAAUCUGUUCCAGAUUGAUAUUCCAAGGAUCACGAGGGCCCAUACUAACCCAUAAACAUUUUUUCAUCUUUAGAAAUGUAGAUGUGGGGCAAGUUGCUGCAAGUUUUUUUUGAUAAGUAAGCACAGAAUUCAUUCAAAGAAGGCAAAAAAGCCCCAUAGUAUACAGGACGUAUAUAAGGCAGCUAAGACCUUACAAGCAAAAAAAGACCAAAAACUCACCACCCCUUAACUGGAGGCUAACCACUCCAGGAAUCCUAUAAGGGAAUGCAAGUUGCUGCAAGUUGAUUCAAUUAAGAUGCCAUUUGGCUGAUUCUUUUUCUAGACAGACUCUAUCAACAGUUGGAAGAAGUUGUAUCCCUGGAAAUAAAAAAAGUACUUGGUGGUUUAAGAUUAAACAAUUGAACAUGAUAGAUUAGAGAUGAUUUUUUUGAAAUCAGAUUUUAGUGGUGCCUCUUUUUUUGUUUCCCAUUAAGUCCUACUUGAUGUAAGACAACCCUAGGAUAGUUGUCUACACUCAAAUAGGUGGGCUAGGGUUUUUAUUUUUUAGGAUGUAGGGAGAGAAACAAGGAAUCAAGUUUAUGGUAGAGAAAAAAAAAAAAAACCUUCUAGAAGUUUUACCUAAAAGAAAAUUAAUGGAGUUUCACUAAGGAUUGCAACACUUGUAAUAAAAAAAACAUAAUAUUAUUAACAUCAAUCAAUUCUAAAGUCUACUAGGAUUCUAAUAACUUAUUCAAACUUUGAUUCUAAUUAUCUUAUAACAAUUGACUUUAACAAAUGCUAAUCCUAACUUGACUCCAACAAAUACUAAUCCUAAUUUAAUUUCAUUAAAUACUAAUUUUAAUUUAAUUCCAAGUUAUACUAAUCUAACUCUCUAAUUGCAACUUGCAACUAAUACAAAUUCACUACAGGUGGUACUCAUUUAUCCUUGCUUCAGCCACUAAACAUUGUUGUUGAGAAUAACAUCUGUGUAAUCAUAGCUAGGAGAAAGCUUCAAUUCACUAAUUUUUAUGUUCCUGGUUGUUUUAGUGCCAAUUCUUGGAGUGUACCUACUUUGUCAUGAAAUUCUUGGUUUCAGCCUUCGUUGUUUACAAAUUUCGAUAUGUGAGGGUAGAAAAAAUACAUAAUGGUUCGACCUUUAUUGUGUGAAACAGAUGCAUGUGUAGAAAACAGAAAUUGGGUCUGUGGUGGAGGGCAGGACUUUGAGACGUGUGGUUUAGGUGGUGUAUUGAGAUGAGGGGGUAGGCGUGGUCCUUAUGUCUAAAAUAUCUUCUACAUUUCAUUAGAACUGGCUAGGAAAGCAAUGCAAAGGAAUCUUUUGAACCUCAUAAUCGUUUAAAAAAACUAGGUCUCCGAAAAUGAAUUGUUUGUUUCCUAUUAAAAUAUGAAUUUCAAGUUUUGCUGUUGGAUAUUUAAGAUCAUGCUUAUACUUGGAACGGAGUGUAAUAGAAUAUGGUUAUGGGAAAUCUAUCCCAUUUCUCGUUUUAGUACUUUCUAUGUUUGGAUGAUUUUAAAUUGCAGUCUCAUGAAGAGUUUUUUUCCUGUCAUUUUCAUUUUUAUCGUCACUUUUAUUCCUAACGCACCAAACGCAGCCCCAAGACACCUGGAGUUGUUAGCGACGAAUUUUUAUGAUAAUUUUCGGCUCGGGAAAAAAAAUGUGGCGUGAAUUUGUGUACGAAUAGGGUGAGGAGCUAAAAUGAAAAAUAUUUAUUUCCGCUUGAUGUUGUUACUCUAAUCGGUUUGGCAUUGUCUUGUUUCCCUGUCGUAUCGUUUCAAUUAUAUAUAUAAUAAUAAUGAAAAAUAUUUUUCAUAAAAAAUGAAUUAUAAAAUGUGUAAUAUUUAUUUCAAGGUUUAAGAGUUGGGGGUCGGGUCACCCUCCCACAGCCGGACGAACCCAGUAACCGCCAUCCUUAUGUAUAAACCCAACUCAGUAACCGUACCGGACAGUUCUUUAAUAUGUCUAAUUUUAGUAGAUGAUUCUAACGUUCAGGGAAAGAUCUCGCCCAUUAAGCCUUUAUGUGGUUGACCAGAAGUAACCAAUGAGAUUCUAGCAUUUAAUUGGACUUUCGCACCUUACUCCAUAAUAAUCUCGUCUGUUUCCCACUCCUCCUAUCAGAACUGCAUAAUGAUAUAAACGAACAAAAAUGACAUAAAAGAAGAAAAAACCUUCAUUUAUCUUUGGGAAUUUCCUGAAGUUAUUCUGGUUAAUUGUUUUUGCAAUAUCUCCCAAAUCUAAGUUAAACAAAAAAUAAAAAUAGUAAAAGACAUAACUGGAUGGCUAGGUAUUAGGAAUUAGGAUCAGCAUAAAUUUGUCCAAGGAAUGGCCCGAGAAUCUUGCUCGAAGGCAAAGCAUUUUUCUUCCUACGAUUACCGAGAAACGCGACGCCACUUUUUGUCUCUGUAUUGUAGAAUCAUUGUCUUCGGAUUUUUAAAUCCUUGAUGAUGUUGGAAAUUAUCUCUACUCCAUGGACUGGGGAAUUUCUUAAAGAAAAUAAUACGUGGCUUCACCUCGUGCACUCACCCCUUACUUUAUAAUUCUUUCAUAUCUUCAAGUUUAAUGAGAGAUUAAUAUCCAAUGAUUGUCUGCUUGGCACUUUCAUUAUGAUUUGAUGAAUUUGUCCACUUUUCUGUUUUAUCAUAUUUUCUUUAAUUGUAAUCCAUAGCAAGGAGGCGGAGAGGAAGUAAAAGACUCUUAGUUUCAGCAUUUGGCAUUUUGUAAGAGAGAUAUUUUGUUGUCCCUAUCUAUUUAUUUUUCUAUCCAUUUGGUCCAGUGAUACAGUUAAAUCACAAGAAAGUAUUAAUAAUAAUAAUAAUAAUAAUAAUAAUAAUUCACGAGAAAUCAAAUAUGUUUUUAUUUUGAGUUCAAUAAGAAUGUUAUAAUAUGUUUAGAUAUUUUUAUUAAAAGAAUUUAUAAAUUUAAAAGGAAAAUCUAAUAAGGUAAUGGUAUGUUUUAGCGAUUGAGUUUGAAUAGGUCUGAAAUCAAAAUAAAAUUCUCAAAUUGGAACUUCAAAUUCAAAUAAAAUUAUGGAUUAACUCUAACUUCAGUUUUUCAACUUCUUAAAGGCACAAACAAACAUAUAUCUAACAUCCCCAACUCUAAAUCACACAAUCAGAGUUGCAAAACCAAUCCUCAUUGGAAAAAUUUUCCACCUCCCACAUUCUCAACCUCACAUCAGUACAGCCAUGCCACGUCAGAGGAUAGCAUCCAAUCCAACCAAUAGCAGGCAUCCUCUGCAGAUAACCCAUUUCUCCACCCAUCCCAUCCUCCUUUAUCUCAUACAAAUACAAACCACACAAAUCAAAAAACACCACCUCACCGCAAGUCUUCGCUUUCUAUUAAAUCAUCCCCACACCCUCCUCUUCUUCUGAUUUCUUCCCUUGCAACCAGACACACUCACUCAGAGACAGUUGAAGGAAAUGGCCAUCGUCACCUCCGCCGCAGUCGCCAUCCCCUCAUUCACCGGCCUCAAGGCCUCCGGCGCAACCAUGACCCGCGCUGCCGCCACCGUCAAGACCAUCACCGCACCGGCCCCGAGGCUCGUGGCCAAGGCUGCACUGAAGGACGUGGGAGUGGCCGUCGUCGCCACCGCCGCCAGCGCUUUGCUCGCCAGCAAUGCCAUGGCCAUGGAGGUCUUGCUCGGCAGCAGCGACGGAGGCCUGGUGUUUGUGCCGUCGACCAUCACCGUCCCCGCCGGAGAGAAGAUCACGUUCAAGAACAAUGCUGGCUUCCCUCACAACGUUGUGUUCGACGAGGAUGAAGUUCCGUCCGGCGUCGACGUAUCGAAAAUCUCGAUGUCCGAAGAGGAUCUGUUGAAUGCACCUGGAGAAGUGUACUCUGUGACUUUGACCGAGAAAGGUACCUACAGUUUCUACUGUUCUCCUCACCAGGGUGCUGGUAUGGUGGGAAAGGUGACCGUUAAUUAAGUUAGUUUAUAUGAAUGACGAUGAAUUUGCAAGGAACAUCUCAUAUGUUUUCUCCUUUUGUUUUGUUUUUGGGUGUAUGGUAGCUGUUGUUUGUAAUAGAGUUUACCGAUCUGAAUGAAGGGGUGGGUUGAGAAGAUGUAUAAGGUGAGAAGUGAGCUCAUAUUAAAUGCCUUUGUGCAUUCCAAUUUCUUCGUGUAAUUGUAGUUCUGUGUGAUAAUAAACCAAGCUCAUCUUAUACACCACCUAAGAUAAGAUAUCCCCGCAACCCACAAUAACAACUUCCAAUAAAAGAAUUACAAGAGAAAUUCAAAGAAUUCAACAUUCAGUUAGUAAGAAAAUUACAAGGAAUGACAACAUCCAAAGCAACCCUGUAAGCUGUGGAUGAAUUGAUUCUAAUAAGAGCCAAUUUUAUGAAGACAGAUGGGGAGGCUUGGUGGUUAGAGCACUGGAAGGGUGGUAUAAGUUCUCUCCCUCUUUUAGUUCCAAAGAGAUUACAUGGAGAUACAAAUAUGGCAAUUAGUAGGGGUCUAUGCGGUCAUCAAAAUACAGAGAUGAAUGGAGAGGUUAUGUACUAUGUAGUUAGAGCGUUUCAAACAGAACACAUCAAAAUACAGAGAUGAACGGAGAGGUUAUGGACUAUGUAGUUAGAGCAUCUGGAAGAUUACAUCGAGUACCAAGCACCUUACCACCAAAGUCAGGAAAAGUCUCAUGUCCGGGCAAGGGUCUUACCUUCCCGUCAACAUCUACCUGGAUGGGAUAUUUAAGAAGGUGGCCUUGCAAUGGGGUGUAAGCAUCACUUGUGAACCUCUUCCAGUUCUCUUCAGCCAUCUUGUUCACAUUCUUCACACAAUCCAAGGUUUGAGGCUCCUUGAAACUAUUAUUUAUCAUCCCUAGGUGCUCUGCCCACAAGGACAUUCUGUACCCGUAUAUCUGCAAACACAUCCCAUCAGUUCUAUCAAAUUAUCUCUAAGAGUUCAAUUUUUCUAAAUCUUUGUGGCUUCGUUUUGAAUCACAUUGGGCAACAACUUCAUUUUCAUCUUUUUUUUUUAGAAGAUUGUUCUGGUUCAAUAUAAACAGGCUAAAAUGGCACCGCCAACCGGUUGGUGCUAUGUGUACAUUUUUAGAUCCUGUUUGCAACCUAAUUCCAUUUGGUUGUCCCCUUAUAACUGCUUCGUUUAUGUUCUUGUUAACCCGCCUAAAUCUUAUUAUAUAAAUUCAACGGUCUGAAUCUUUUAUUCGACAGGCAUCACUACAGUGCCUUAGUAUUUUCCUAUCAACGAACAUAUCAUGGAUGAUUAUAAGAGGGAAUUCUUAGGGAAACCAAACCAGACAAGAGAAAGUCAUAGAAGCUUCCAGAAGACUGGAAUUUUCUAAAGUAGUGUGGGCCAUUUUAGAAUUGGUCUGAAGUUUCUGGAAUAGUCUGGAAGGCUCUAGAAUACUAUGUGGAACUCUCCAGAAAGAUGUAGGUCAAGGUGGUUUUAAGGUAUUGGUCAGUUGGGCAGGGUCUAGGACAUGCGAGGAAGCAAGUACCCAAAGUUUCAAUUUAGACUAUAUAAACAAACAGCACUACUAUAAAAAAUAACUACAAACCUGGCCAUGUGGAUGUUUCUUCUUCUUGGCCCAAGUGUGGCGAGGCUGAUAUGCACCCAUAGCUAUCUCAGUGUCUCUUGAACCAGCCAUAGAUCUUUGGUUAAUAUUGGCAGACCCCAAUAUCACAUACUCAUCAUCUACUAUCAUUCCCUUGGCAUGUACAUAAAUCAUAAAUCGAUGAAACUUCUUUGAAGUGGAAACCUGAAAGAUUGGUCAUGAAAAAUUAAUUUUUCAAUUCUUAUUAAAUCAAAGAUGAAGAAUAUCAUGCUUUAAGUUUAUAUUGAGUGUUGUAGAACUUCAUGUACUUAGACUCUCCCCCAAAAUAAAUGUUUGAAGAGUUAUUUACCAGACAAACUAAAACUCAGUCUUACAGUGUAAUGGUGGGACAGAAAAGUUGUAUUGCCUACAAGAUAUAUUUUUUACAGUUGAUCAGAACGCCUCUAUUAAACUGAAGAUGCCAGUUUAUCAUCCCAUGCAAGAACAUUGAACUACAAAAGAAUUAGAUAAGCCAAAGGCAACAAAUUGACGGGGUGGCUGUUUGAUGAAACAAAGGUUAAAAAUAUACCAGGCCUGAACCAUCUUGUGUUUUUGCCUGGUGUCGCAUGAACAUAUAUGCUAUAAUCCAAGUUCCAGAUUCCUUUUUUUUUUUCAUAACCGACGUUUGUGAAUUGAUAUUGACAUACAGCAAUCCGAAAUGUUAAAACUAAGAUGUUGACUGCCAAAAGAACAGAUAAUUGAUAUUGAUGGCAGAAGGCCAGAUCAAUUCUGACACUGUGCAGUUAAAAAGCUUAUCAGAUUCCAUCUGAAAUGGGCAUGGACAUUAUCUAGACCAACUAAUAAAGUGUAAGAUGAACAGCAUCCCGGAGACAGUUAUUCCUAAAUGAAACCAUAGUUUCACAAAACUUAUGAAAAUGAAGCAACUCAGAGUUACUAAUUUUUUAUUUUAUUUUAUUUUAUUGGAAAUUAGAUGGUCUAACUAGAAGAAAAUGAGUUUGAAAUUGUAUAAUUACCCCGUCAGAGGCUUGUGUGUUUGAACUUGACACUUCUUUGGGUGGUUCUUCCCGAUUACCAAGACAGUAGAAAUUGAGGUAGUCUUGUGGGUGUGCAUCCUCAAGUUGCAUGGAUUGCAGCUCUUGUGCUAUAAUAUCAUACAUCAUUUGCAUUGUUUGCCCCUGCAGAAGCAAAAUCCCAAUCAAUAUCAAAUAGUAUGCCAAUAAUGUUGCCGGAUGUGUGUCUCACAUAAAUCAUGUAGUACGGGUAGAACUGGUUCAAUGUUUAGAACAAACUACGCCAAGUUAUGAUUAAUAGGGGCAAAAUGUCUAAUAAAGAGCUUUUAUCACAAAUAUUUAAAGAACAUUGGCUCUGAUGUAGAAGCGAAUUCACAACAUUAGAAUGUAUAUACCAUGGCUAUACAUGGCACAAUGAUGUUUACUCAGAAAUCUGAAAUAGAGUUUCAAAAAUUAAUGCAGCAAGAAUGCAACUCCAUUUUGCUUCUUAUAAGAUCACUCAUUAAUAAUUAAAAAGGGCCAACCACUAGCUGGAAAUCGCAAGUUUUAAAAAGCAUAUAAUGAAAAGACACCUGACAAAAAGAGGUCCAAACCAAGUAUAUCCAUGAAGUAGGAUGCAUGAAACAAAUAGAUGAAACUCAAAAUACUCAGUGGUCUAAACAUAUCCCAAAACAUCAAUAAAAUCUAAAAAGGAAAGAUUGACAUGCCCUACCAAAUAUUUUGCCCAAGAGAACAAAGAUCUAAAGAAAUGAUUAUUACCUGGAAGCUGAAGCUUUAUAGUUUAUACUUUAUAGUGAUGUAGUGAUAUAUUGUUUAUAAUAUUACUGAUCAAUCUAAUUUGCUGUAUCAUAAUCAUCAGUUUUCAUGUUGAUCCUGAUGAUUGGGGUUGGAGUUUCCAGCCCACCAAAAAUCACGUCUUCAAUUAAAACAUGAGAUUUGGUACUUUGCUUCUCUAUCAGCCUUCUCCACCUUACAGAACACUCACCUUGCACUAACUAACCUCUUAUCAUCUUCAUUGGAAACAAAUACAUCAAGAAUUUGUGUUAACUUACCUGCCAAAACAAAAUUUCUUGCACAGAGGCACAGGAGGGGUUGCCCUCAGGCCACAUUGGUAUGACAACAUAAACUGAAAAUCUCUCCUUUGCUCUUAUCUUACUAGCAAUCUUUAGUGCCAACUCCAUCGGAAUCAGAUUAUCAGCUCCUGAUCAUACCAAAAACAGCUUAUUUGAGGAAAAAGUUAUUGAAAGAAUGCUUAAAAGUAAAAAGCAAUAUGUAUAGGUAUAUAUAGUCAUACAUAUAAUCAUGACGGCUAACUAAACAUACACAACAUGUGGUAAAGUUUUGAAAAGAGUAGAUGCAAGAUUCAUGAUUUUGAAUGGAAACAUAGUGGUCGCAUGUAGUUUGUGGAAAAUAGGUAUAGACUGUAAAAGCAACAAAGCUACUAAAAAAUAUAAGAAGAAUUUGUGGGAUCCUGUCCUAGUGGUAUAAAAUGAAUAUCUUCGGAUGUAGAAGCUGUAUAUGCUCAGAGUCAUUACAAAGGAGGUCUUCUAGGUUGAGCAACAGAGAUACCAUGCACAAAGUAAGCAUAUUAUGCAAGUAGUUACUAUAGAAGUUUGAACCUGCGUUUUUAUAAGAUGGCCACGCAUAAGAAGAUCCAAUAAAAUACUGAUUCUCAAUAUAGAUGAAGUGUUGGGCAGAUCUGAUUGCCUGGAUGUAUGCUGUUUGAAUGCUCUUGUCUAUCACCAAGUUUUUUGCACAGACUAGGUUCUGCAUUAAAAGAGGAUAUCAUAUAGUUUGCCAAUUACCGCGACAGAGAAAUACAAAGAUUUGAUAAGAUUGAUGUACAUCUUAAUUAUAAGAGUAAUAUGUCCCUAGUCUUGUAUAAAUUGAAUUUUUCACUUGCUUAUUUUAUAAAUAAUAUAUAUAGAUACCUGAGCCUCAGCUGAAGGAACAUCUUUGGGAAAUCCUCUCAAAGAUCCUGAAUCUAUAGAUCUAAAGACCUGCAAUGUCAAAUAACAAUCUAAGAUUUAGUAACAUCAACAAAGGAUCAAAUUAUGGAAUGCUUUGGCUAGAAGUGCAUACAGAUUAACCUGAACAUGCCAAUUUUCAGGAUCAUUUUCUUCAGAAACCCAUAAGCUAGGAUCAUCAUAUGGAACAGAUGGGGAAGGGCUAAGUAUCCAUGAGAUGCGCUCUAACUUGAUUAAGGCAUCUUCAUGCCAAUGAGUUAUCCUUUUGAAACGUCGCCCAAACUCUGACCAUUUUGUGGCUUUUCGCCAACGCUGCUCAAAGUUUGUAAGCACGUCAUAUGCAGCAGGCCCCUCAAUUUUGCAAUGCAAAUCGUGCCAUGGUUGCCUUGGACCCUUACUUACUGCCUAUUAUCACAAAGAAAAUGAGAAGAAUAUUCAUUCACAAAAAUUAAAGAACAUGUUGUAUCAGUUCAAGAGACUAAACAGAACAUUUGCAACAAAUGUCAUUGUAUGCACUUCUAUAAUGAGAAAUCAUGCUAUUCCAUGCUAUUAUGGUAUUGUUGACAUCUAAAAUAUAAAAAAUUCCUUCUACCAACAGAUUGGUUUUGGAGGAAAGUUUAUGUUCAUUUGCAAAGAUUUGUUUUUCCAGUGGGGAAAACCCUGCCUGAGCCAUUUUCUUCCUUGAUUUCUUCUGUAUGCACAAGUUGUUAAAUUUGUCUCACCAAACAGAUUAUUAGCAUGUGUAGGCAGUAUCUGAUGAGACUGUUGAGGAAGGAAAUGUUAAUUCAUCAAUCUCAAGCAACAUUAAAGAGAUCUGGUUUGUAUUCUCCUUUCAUAACUUCACAUGAUCAUGUGUAAAAGGAUUUGAAAUAUAUCAAACCUGAAUCUGUUUUGCUUUCACGAUAAGGAACAUAGAAUCAUGAAAAUUCUUAUUCACUACUUAAUAAUGAAUAUUGGCAGGUAAAGGAAAACUUUGAAUACAGAAACAUACAUUCCAAUGAAACAGAUACUCACAGAAAAUGUUGGAUUGUGAUAAUCAUUCUGAAAUACAGUGUCAAGAUCAUGACACAAACGAUGUUCGGGUGUAUCAUAGCGGCCAUCACAAAGGUCUAAACCUCCUAGAAAGGCAGUUAUCUUCCGGUUAUUUCCAGAUGCUUGUGUAUCCACAAUCACACAUUUUUGAUGGUGUGUAAAGAGCGUGCCAACGACCUUAUAAGAUGCCAGAAGGAAUCAUGUCAGAAAAUUAUGCAGUUUGUUUUUUUUUUUUUUAAUUUAAGAAGUAAAUGUUAUUUUUACAAUACUUUAUAAGUUUGCUAUAGACCAAAAAAAUAAAUGUAUGAGUGGAUUUAUAUAUGCAACAUGUAUGAAGAUUGACUACUUCUAUAUAAACCUUAAGAAGUAGCAUCACCAUAGCAGAUUACUCCCGAGUCCACAUACAAAUACACAAACACAAGAACAAUAGCUUUCCACAAGCAAACUUAUCAAAAUACACUUAUAUAAGUUGGAAUUCCCAAAUGUGAGGUCCACCUCUGCCAUCCCACUCUAAAUUUAUCCAAAAUUCAGUAUGAUUAGAAUCUACCAUCCCUAAUAUUCACAUACUUUCUAAUAAUUCCUAAAUCCUUUUUAGGGCCUUCACCUACUUAGGAGCACUGCUUGGUGCUGACAAAAAUCUUCAAUAUUCAGUUUAUUGAUGAUAGGAAGUGCUAUGGUAAGUUGAAAAUUGAAGGAAACCAUAAAGACUGGAAGGACAUGGAUAGCAGUGAAAGAAACAUGAAUAGAAACUGAUAGAAAAUAAAAGCCCCAUCUGGACCUACCUAGAUCAUAUUUUCCCAAUCACUUACUAAAUGGGCAACAAGGUUUCCAAAUCCCAUUCAUCAUGUUAGAUCAUAUAAAAGAAUUGAUGUCCAUGAGGAAUAAACAUCGAUUCUUUUAUAUGCUUCAUUCAAUGAGAUUGCAUUUGAAAAAUAUCAGUUGGCCAAGAAAAAUCAAGUUUGUAGAGAAGAAACAGGCUUCUAUCAAAUAGUUCUGUCCAAUCAGAGGACAACCAAAUGGUAAAUUUAUCACAUUCACUGUAUAUCUAGACCCUCUCUUUAGCAAUUUUAAAUUUUCUUUCUGUAAAAGAUCAUAUAUUUUAUGCUCUUGGCUUUAAGUUAAUUACAAAGAAAAAGAAAGUAAAUAAAAAUGGGUAAAGCUACAAAAUGCAGAAGUUUCAAAUGAGCAGGAUUUUGAGAUACAUUAUAAGGACUAGGAUGUGUUAAUAUUGAACAAAAAUUACUGGACCAUGGUAUAAAGCAUGCCUGUUGCUUGAAAAUGCUAAGCUUACUGCUGGCAUAACGAGGUGACAGCACACAAAGAACAGAAGAGUGCUUGAAAAACUUCCGAGUUUCCUCGUCAUGAGUUUGCAUCACUCCUACCUGCAUCCAAAGCCUGUCAUAAUAAGAUUGAAAAUAUCUAACUUUAAUUUACAUCAAUAACUACUUAUUAAGAUAAAAUUGUUGUCAACAAUGCAACUUUAGGGAUUUAAAAACACAUUAUAGCCAGACAAUCUGCCAUAUUUUCCUGGGAUGCAUCUACAGAUACUAAGAUACUGAAUAAAGGCUAGAUAAGCCCAAUAAAUCGUCUUUAGUAUGGAAUCUACUUUUCCAGUUCAGUUUUGAUCAUAAUUUAAUUCACUUUUGAUCAUAACAAAAAGUUUGUUUCUUUAAAGAUUUGAAUCUAAAUUAGAAAUUUGCACUGCAUCUAUCCUAUAUUGUUUCUGAAUUCAGGAAGGGAAACUCGAUUCUAUGUGCAUUAGAAAAUAUAUAAAUAGAAGUUUCAUGUCCAAAAUAUAUUCAGGGAAAAUGCCAAAUAUGUUAAUCCAAUAAUGUAAGAUUAGAUUUGUUUCCCGUAGAGUACAUACCGUAUUAACCAAGAAUCUGCUGUGGGAAGUCUUAUCAUCCCAAACCAACAACAAAACUCUCACCCCUUCUUGAGAUUUAUACUUGAGCAACUCGCCAAGAUUCAAAUUGCCACCACUAGGUAAAGGCCUAGUCGGUUCUCGAACUAGCUUCACCUUAUGGUACACUGACCAACCCACAAUAUAGACCAAAUGAUGAGCCUCCAGGAUUGAGUGGCAAAUGUCUUCCCAGCAUUUCCCGUGUUGAUACACCACUCCAUCAUCCAACUCAAGCUCAGGAAGCAUACCGUUGGGAACAUGCGCGUCCUGGUAAAGAGUCACAGAGCCGCCUAGCCGCACCGGGAAAUAACUCUGUUUAACGCCAAAAUGGUCUGGAUCGGUGAUACCGCGAGUAUACAGAGGAUUGAUCUCGGAAGAAAUAAAUCUCAUUUUUAAAUAAAUAGCAGAAUCAGGCUUCGGCGGUUUGCCGUUGAAUCCGAGUAUCGGAAACCAAUCGGAGAUCGAAUCACCGGUUCUGAUUCUUUCCGCAGACACGGUAGCGGUUCCAAUCAUGUCAGCGCCGAAUACAUCGUUGUCUUUCACCUGGAACUCGACGCAGGAGACCGGGUGAGCCAGAGGGAUUUUAAGGUGUUCGUUCCACACAGGGUGCUGAGAAUUGGAGAUGACGCGAGUCCGCGCCACCGUCGCUCCGGCCAGGCAGACGGUGACAUAAGGAUCGCUGGUAAUGAUCUUGUGGUGGCGCCCUUUCUUCCUUCCACCGGAGAACGGAGCCCGGCACGAGUCGAAAGCCGUGAAGCACCGCCGAAUACGCUCAGACAUCAAAUCCAUAUUCGGCAAGUAUCGAGCUUCAAUAAUGUUCAAAUCUAAAUCACCGUGAAGAUACACUAUGGUUUCAGAAUCAUCCGCCAUUGUUAAGAAUUCAGAGGAGGCAGAUGCAGAUUCGUAGCCUUGGCUAUGACAGGAGAAACCAGCGAUUUCCGUUGAACGCGUCUUUGGUUUCUCCGACAUAGCCAAUGGCGGAGAACCGAAAACGAAGCUCACUGGAGGAUCGCGAAAUGCAGAGAGAUUGGACAACAGAGAGAGAUUUUUAUAUUGGAAAACACGCGGAUUUACGUCAAAUCCUCAACAUAUGCUAUCGAUGCCCAGAACGAUUAGCAGGUGAGAUAACCACAUUUCUAUCUACACCAGGCAGUUGCCCAAACAAGACUCCAAAAAAAAAAAAAAACACAGCCUUUUUAAGUCCAUGUCUGAUCCAACAAAAUUGACUUUUUUUAGUAAACCCCUUUAAAAUAAAAUGGAACAAAAAGGUACUAUUCUGAUUCAUGUUUCUUCAUAAAAGUUAUUUUUUUAAUGGGUUUGACCGUUGAUGAAAUCACUCCAUUCAAAUCCAAAUCCAAACCCAAUUUUAUAAAGUCUAGGCUUUGGUUUGAGAGUCGGUGAGGUGGGCUGGGCAUGAAUGAACCAAUUGUACAUAAUAUAUAGAAAGUUUUGUCAUCAAGACAAAACCCUCCCACGUUAUAAAGCGUACAUUGCGCAAGUGGUUGCUCGGAAUGAAUUGUAUGAAAGCCAAAAUAAUUGGGCAUGGGCGAAUGAGAGGACGAUGACUGCAUGUUUGACAGUUGGAAGCCACGCGGCGACAAGCGAAUGGCUACUUUUGUGGUUUCAUUUUUUCUUUAUUAUCCUUACAUCACAUCAAUAAUUCAUAAAAAAGAAUAGCAACUAUAAAGUUCAAAUGGUGGAUGCAAUAAAUGAUUUCUCCGAGCCACAUGCCAGAGACUGGGCCUGAUUCUAAUGUCCACGACUUCUUAUUCCUUCACAAGAGAGGUGGGGGGUCCUAUUGAAAAUCUGAAAGUCAUCCAAACCCAACCCCAACACUGUACUUUUCGUUCAAAAUCAUCCAAAACCCAACGGAUUCAACCUUCUUGGUUUUUUUUUUUAAUUAAAAUUUAAAUAAAUCUAUUUGAAGUUUGAAUACAGAUCAAUGUAAAGAGAGAGACGCACAUUAUUAUCAUUAACCCCUCUAGGAAUUAGACCUCUGCCUAGCUGCAAUUGCGACUCUUUUGAUUCCAUACAGGGAAGCCACCAUUUUAUUUAACUUGGGAAAAAAGUCUGACGUAAAUCAGUAAUGAUAGAAAUGGAAUAUUGGAAAGACGAUUUCAUGUGGUGUUUAAUAUUAAACUUAAACAGAUUAAAAAAAACAAUCAUUGGCUCAUAUUCUAACUUUCAAAUAAUCGCCUCAAACUUUUUAGUUUUUAAUAAUUUCAUUAAAAUUUAUAUAUGAGAAAAUGAAUCAAAAUAUUUAAGAAAAGGAAACUUAACUUUUAACAAAAGAAAACUUCCUCAAGUACAAAAAACUCAAGAUAGCCAUUAAGACCACUUCUUGUUCCAACAUCCUUUCACUUUAUAAUAAUGACUUUAAAUAUCAGUUACUAUAUUCAUUAAAUAAACAUCCAUAAUUACAAUUAUUUUAAAUUCCAAAAAGGCGUGGCAACGUUAGUAAUCUCAAACCCAAAAUGAAUUUUAAUUGAUUAAUUAAUCUCAUAAAGUCAUUUAAUUAAUAAAACCAAACUCACAUAUGGGUUCUACUAAGGGGCCAAUUUAACCAACUAACAUUCCAAGCCAACCACUCCACGGUCCAAUUGAUAAAUUGCUCUAUUUAUUUGUACCCCACAAAUAAUCCACAAGAUUUCGAUGUGGGAAAUUAAAGACAAGAAAAGACCAAAAUCACAUAUGGGCUCUACUAACCAGGGGACCAAUUAAUCCAACUGACAUUCCAAGCCAAACCAAUCUACGGUCCAACCUUACAAAUAAUCCACAAACUUUCAAUGUGGGAUUGAUGAUUGCAAAUUAAAGACAAAAAAAGAUAGUGAACCUCACAAGUAAUCCAAAAGCUUCUGAUAUGGGAUUAAUGGUUGCAAAUUAAAGAUAAGAAAAAUAUGGGUGGAAAAGCAAAGGUUAAACUAAGGGGGACUUUUCUCCAUGUGUCCUUCCUAGACUUAAAACCCUUUGACCGUUCAAAGCAAACAUAUAACUCGUCUUUGAUCAAUCCGUCUGACACCAAAAGUGAGAAGCUUUUCUUCUUCCAUUAUGCCAGACAAAAUGGACAGACUAAACCGACUAAUCUUUCUGAUGAGCCUACAAUGUUAGACGGAAUGAAUAGAUCGAGUCGACUGACCUUUUAGACGGGCCUACAACGCCAAACGAAAUGGACAGACCAAGUCGGCUAACCUUUCAAACGAGCCUACAAUGUUAGACGGAAUGGACAGAUCAAGCUGGCUAGACCUAUCAGAUGGGCAAAUUCAUCCAGUCAAGUCUUGAGGAUUUCUGGCAUGUGUGGUUUACCACGCUUGAUGUUUGAAGCACCGGCCUAGACAUCUAAUGUCUAAGAGGCAGACUAGAUGCAUGAUGUCUAAGUGACGACCUAGACGCUUGACGUCUGAGUAGCACACUAGACGUCAUUUACACCCAAAAGUCAAUGUCAAUUAAUCGUUACACAUAAUCCCAAACAUUAACAAGCUAAAUUGAUAGUUAGCUACACGGUUCGAGAUUUUAGCAUGACAGUUAGCCACUCUUACUUGAUAUGAUUGCCCAGUCUAUGUCGCAUUAACGACGUCCACACAAUCAUCAUUACAAGAUAAGGACGGUGUCAUCAGCUCUAUAUAAACCCCUCAAAAAACACAAACAAGGUACACACAUACGCUCAUUAUCUCCCACAAAAAUAGUUAGAGUUGUCCUCAUCUGACUUAAGCUUCGGAGGGGCGUGCCCAGACCACCCAUCCGGACAUCCUUCUGUACAGGGAAGAAAUUCGUCUGACUCUAGUGAAGUUGGACGAACCUAACUCCAGUUGGCUUCACACCAAUUGAUUAUGUAUCACUUUUAAAGUAUAAUAAACUAUAUAAAAAAUACUAAUAUGUUUUUCAAAAUUUUAUCAUAUUUAACCACUAAACAAAUGCAAAUAUUUACAUUCACAUUUAUUUUUAUAAUAAUUAUUUAAUUAGAAAUAUAAUAUAAAUUAAUUAAUAUGAUAAUUUUUAAAAAAUUAAAUAAUAAAAUAUAUAAACAUAUAAAUAAAAUUAAAUAUUAUAAUUUUUUUCAUCUUAAAUAUAUCUUUAAGCUUAAAUAUUAUAUAUGUUCUAUUUAAUAGGGAAUAUAUAAUUCGUUUAUGAUCUUACUCAUAGGUCAAAGUCACUGCUAACUUAACACAAAUUUAAUAUUCUCUUGAGCUGAGAGACAACAAAAUGUAACAGUUUGAUGAAGUCAUAACUACUUGAUGAUAAUCUUAAGUCAUAACUCAUUAUAGGUUCAAUAUAUAACCAUACACAUUAGUGUACUCACUAUGAAAAAUUCAUUCUAAUAGUCAAGAUCAGUCAUCUCUCCAGUUAAGAAGAAAUACACUAUAACCUAUAAUAAGUUACCUAAGCUAAUGAACUAGUUAUGAACAAAUCAUUUACUUACAAGGAACCCGUAAAUUGAAUCUUUUGUGUAAUUUUUUAUACAAUCAAAUCACAUACAAUGCAAGAAAUGCGAAUCAAAAUACUUGUAAAAUAUAAUGCUUGAAAUGAUAAUAGAUAAAAAAAUAAAAAUAAAGACUAAAAAUUUAUUAGUAAAUAAUAAAAUUGAAAAGUUUACUACACUAUAUCAUGUUUUUAAGGACUUUAUAUUUUAUAUAUAAAACAAUCAAACUACUUUUUUCGACAUUUUUUUACUCAUCUAAUAUCAACCUUAUUUCUUUUUCAUUUUUAUUUCCUUCUCUUCCUUUUCAUUUUCUUCCUCGAUUUUAUUUUUCUUUUGCUUUGUUUUAUUUAUUUUGAAACAAAAAGAAAGAAAUUCAUGAUGGGCAACCAAGUUACUAAUCACAAUCGCCAACGACAAUCUAAUAGCACACCUAAUUUUUUUUUCAUUGUAAAAAAAAUGACAAAGAAGAUGAAAACAUGAAGAUGAAUGAAAUGUACAAGAAAUGAGGUAAAAAAGAAAGAAAGUAAAAAAAUAAAUAAAAUUAGCAUUUUGGAUGGUAGUGCAUGAUCAUUUCACAUGUAAAGUUUAUUUAAAAAAAAAAUGAUAAAAAAGAAAAAAAAAAAAAAGUGGAUGAUUGAGUAAAGACAUUUAAAACUUAACAUGAAACUUUUACAAUACCUAUAUUGCUUUUUAACCAUUGUGAUUUUAACUUCAAUUUCUAAAUAAAACCAAAAUAAAAAAACUAUCCUAGGCAAGACUAUUAUCUUCUCUACAUUUUAAUACAUCUAUACAAAAUACAAAACAUUGAAAUAAAAUUUUGUUAAUUAAAUUAUGUCAAUUGUCUUAUGUUCAAAUUUAUUUAACUAAUUGUUAAAAAUAUAAAACAAUCAUAAUAAAUUUUAAAUGACUAUUCUUUAUACAUUUAAUUUGUAUAUUAACUAAAUACAAAAAAAAAAACUUAUAAACAAAAUUAAAAACAUUUAAAAAAAAAACUCAUAAAUAUAUCAUCUUUUUUUUUUAUAAUAUUUUAUUAGAGGCAAAUUAGAUGGAUAAGUAUAAAAUAUGUUUUCAAAUUCUAUAUAUUAUUACUUACAAAUUAUGUCCUAUUAUUUUUGAUAAAAUAAUUUUGACAUUUUUGUCUGAUUAUUUUUUUGGUAUAAUUGAUUUGGAAUAUUGUUGUAUAAACAUUCUUUUUCUUAUGCUAAACAUUCCAACAUGCCAUCGAUUUCAUUUGAAUUUUUUCUUGAAACUUGACAUGUAAUCCUCUCCUACAAAAGAACAAUUUCUUGACAUCAUAAGUC
rnacentral:lncRNA from 1 species